rnacentral:lncRNA from 1 species
AAUGGUGCUUUGUUCUCUUGGUAGGCAAGGAGGGCACCAUGAGUUGGCAGAACGCCUCAUAGAAAUACAGUACGAGCUGACGGAUAGACUGGCCUUCUACCUCUGCGGCCGGAAACCAGGUGAGUGAGAGGAGAGCAGCCUUGCUCGCCUCUUAUCUGGAGUGACAAGUUAGGACCGCAUUGCUACUUGGAAAGACAGAAAGAGAAGAUGAUUAUCAGUAGGGUUUGUAUUUGGGCAGACAGUGUAAUGGCAGAGUUUUUUUUUUCUUUUUAAUAUAUAUUAUUUAUUGUUAUUUCUAUGAUUGCACGUAGCUGUCUUCAGACACACACCAGAAGAGUGCAUCAGAUCCCAUUACAGAUGGUUGUGAGCCACCAUGUGGUUGCUGGGAUUUGAACUCAGGACCUCUGGAAGAACAGUUGGUGCUCCUAACCACUGAGCCAUCUCUCCAGCCCAACAGCAGAGUUUUUAUGUUUGCAUUUGUUUUGCAUUUGCUAUCAUCUCAUGAUGUAUCUCAGCUUUGCCUGCAACUUUCUGUGUACCUUCAGGUGGUUUUAAUUUUUUUUACAAUUUUUUUUGAGAUACUGUAAUUACAUCAUUUCCCCCCCACCCUUUUCCCCUCCAAACCCUCCUGCAUACUACACACCAUGCAGUAGAAGCGCAGAGCUAGAGCCUUCAUCACUAGAAGAGUGCUGAGAACAGGCUCGGCCUUGUUCACUCUCUCUUCGCCUCACGAAGUGAGAUUAAUCUUUAUCCCUCUCAUAAGUCUGGAAAUCUGUAAGUAUCCCACACUAAUAAUGGAAAGAGGGCCAUUCAGGUGUGACACCACCUACAAAGCGGGACUCUACAGUAUUUCGGAACAUUUGGUUUUAUAAGCUGCUCAGCUGUCUCAGAGCGGCUUGUCAGAGUGAGGUGGCCCUUUACCUGGCCUGGUUUGUGGAUCUGGAACAGGAGUCAGUAAACUGUAGUCUGAGCACAAUCCAGCCCUCGACCAGUUUCAUUAAAUAACAUGUUGCUGAAAGGUGACCACGCCUGCUGCUAUGUGUGUGUGGCUGUGGCUGCUGCCACAGAACAGAAGUGGAGCUGAGUGCAAUGCACAGAAUAGCAGAUAAACACAAAGCCUAAAGCAUUGUCUCUACAGCCCUAUGCAGAGACAUUGCCAACCCCAUUUAAAAAACACGUCUGUGGAGGAGCACAUACUGUGGGAUGUGUGUGCACGCACACACGUGUAUAUGUGUAUGAUCACACACAGGGCAGAGUUCAACGUGCAGGAGUUCUCUCUUACCGUGUGGUUUCUGGGGAAUCACACUUAGGUUGUCAGAAGUGGCCGUGAGUACUUGUAAUCCUGAGCCACCUCGUUCCUGUGUGCAGAUUCCUUUCUCUGAUUGUGCAGUAGCAUUAGGAGUCAUUUGGGGGCAAGGUGGAGCAAGCAUAUGCUAGCCCAUCUCUCCUUCUGAAUGGAACUAAAAACUAUGGACAAAAUGCUUAGCUUUGAAAAGCAAAUCUUAGCUAAGAAUAACAAGACCCAAAGUCCCAUCAAGCUUGUAGCAUCUUCCUUCUUUGGAUGCAGUGACGGCCUGUGAUAUGGAGCUGCAGGUACAAAGAGGCCUUCUCUUUCCGAUUUCAGAAAUGAGACCUAAAGCAGACAGACAAGAAGAAGGUUCCUCUGGGUUGUUUUAUUUUAUUUUCCCUCUCUUUCUAAAGGGAAUAUGUGUGGGUAGCCACAGCAAUGGCACAGAUGUAUAAAUGUCUGGCACCAGCAUGAAAGAAUAUGGAUUGUGUUUCUCUUGCUGCCUGCUUAGUAGGCAAAUCCCAGCCUGCCCUGUUGCCUGCUAAAAACAGAAAUAACACUUGACAUAGAUGUUGAAGAAGCCCAGAGUCUUGCAAUACAAUGUUUAGAAUAUCCCAGAUUCCGUCCAUAGUGACUCAGGAGAGAAAAAGCUGGGAAAACCAAGGGCUGCAUAGAGAAAGCAGGCACUAGGUGAACAGGCGCUAGGCCUGGGGCCAGAUGGUGGUCAGCAGGUAAAGAGAAUGGGCCACCCAGUGACCUGAGUGAUCCUGUGACGCACAGGAUAGAGAGCCAGCUUCCAUGAGUUGUCCUGUUGGAAUUGUCAGAAGCAUUUUAACCAGCUAAUAAGAGCGUGGACUGAAGAGCAAUGAACAUUCUUUCAAAAGAAAAAAAAAGCACAUAAGACAGAAUAACCUAGUAAGGAUGUUAGAAAUGAAAAUUACAGUGGGGCAGUGGUGAUAUACAGCUUUAAUUAUGGAGGCAGAGGCAGACCCUGAGUUCGAGGCCAACCUGGUCUAUGACAGCCAGAGCUACAUAGAGACCAUAUGUCGAAAAACCAAAAUAUAAAAUAAAUUACAGUACUUAAAAUAUUAACUCUAGAUUAAUAGGUUUAAUAGAAGGCUAGAAAUAUUCAAAACAUAAAUUGAAAAUAGGCGGCUAGGAAGUGAUGUAGCUCAUGGUAGAGUGGUUAGCUGGCAUGUGGAAGGCCCAGUCCCCAGCACAAGAGAAAGAGCCAGUGGCAGCCUGCCUCCGGGCCUGUGGGGAAGCACUAGAAGAAUGAGGCAGGCACGCUGCAGGGAUAAAGGACUUGCUCUGCAAGCCUAAGACCUGUGCUUGUUCCAGCAUCCAUAUAAGAAACCAGGUGAGCCGGGCAUGGUGGCGCAUGCCUUUAAUCCCAGCACUUGGGAGGCAGAGGCAGGCGGAUUUCUGAGUUCGAGGCCAGCCUGGUCUACAAAGUGAGUUCCAGGACAGCCAGGGCUACACAGAGAAACCCUGUCUCGAAAAACAAAAAACAAACAAACAAAAAAAACCAGGUGGGACACAUGCCUGUAAGUUCCACCACUGGGAAAGCAGAGACACUGGGAUCACUGGGGCUUGCUGGCCAGUGAGUCUCACCAGUCAACCAGUCCCAGGUAAGAGGCCCUGUCUCAGAAAGCAGUGUUGGUAUAUAUAUCUGGGUUAAACAGCAAUUAAUGAUAAAAAGAGGCUAUGAAUUUGAAAGAGCAAGGAGGGAUGUCUGAGGGCUUGCCAGGGAGAAAGAAAUGAAAAAUGAUGUAAUUAUAAUCUCAAAAUUAAUUUUUUUAAAGCAGUGGAAGUGAGUUUCCUACCUUUAGAUCUCAGCACUUGGAAGCAGAGGCAGAAGGGCAGAGGGUAGAGGGACUGGAGAGCUGGCUCAGCAGUGAAGGGCACUGGAUGCCUGUGUAGAAGAUCUAGGGUUGGUUUUCCUCUCCCACACGGUGGCUCACAACCAUCUGUAACUCAAGUUCUAGGAGAUUCGAAGCCCUCUUCUGCCUUCCGCAGCCACCAACUACAAUUGGUGCUUGCAUGUAUGUGCAGGCAAAACAUAGAUGUGCACAUAAUAGAAUGCAUACUUUAUGAAAAUAAGAGUAACGGUAGAAAGGGGACUCGUUCUGAUGCGGAAUCUGAAGCACCUGGUGCUUCUCAGAAGUCACUGAGAGGAAAAGGAAAUUAAAUGGAAUUUAAUUUAAAUUAAAAGAAUGAUAAGAAAAAAAAGAAAAGAGUUGCUGGCCCAGGGCUCCAUAUCCAGCAAAGCCUUUUUAGCAUGAAGACAAAUUAAACACAUUGCUAAAUGAGGAAAAUGAUAAGACUUCAUUGCUCUAGCAGCAGAAGUAGAGAAGGUUCCUCAGGUCAGCGUGGGCCUGAGGACAGCGCAGAAGGAUGGAAGAGCAUCCCAGCAAGAAGUGCAUGGAAGCAGAGCAGCCCGGGCUGCAGGCGUGUGGCCGCUGACAGCAGAGGCUCUCGUGUGGGUGCACAGAAGACUCAGUGUGCAGGGCAGUGCAGAGGAAGGGGAAAGAGUGGGCAGAGCAGGACAGUGACCUUUCUAAGUAGUCAAGGUAUGCGUAGUUCCUGUAACCCAUAGCCAUUGAAAGACAGAGACAACAAUGUGAGAUCAAAAAACCUAGAGAUAAAAACGAAACAAAACGCAUUGUGAAGCAGUACUUAAAUAAUCGAAAGCUCUUUAUUGAAAAUAUUC